rnacentral:lncRNA from 1 species
AUUAUUUACACAACCUUAGCUUGGAAGGCCUGAAGUAGAAAUGUGUCUUCACAACUUUGAGAAGUGACAAUAGCAGUGAAGGGAAGGAGUAUGGAAGCUGAGAUAAUGCAAGAUCACAUAAAAGAUUUGGUGUGUUGGAACACACAGAAAUGCUUUUAAAAAAUUAGCUAAAAGUUGAGGUGACGGUGAAUUUGUUUCUGCAUUAGUGAGAUAUAAUUUCUCUCUCUCCUUUUGUGCUAUGUGUGUGUGCUUUGAUGUGUCAGGGUGGGGCUGAUGAAGUCUAAUGGUGCUUACUGUGUGAUUGGUUCACACUAACUUGUGUUCUAACCCAGAGAAAUUACUGAAGCUUUUUUUUUUUCAAGAGAAGGACGGGAAACAGACAAGCAGCUAUGGCAUUACCCACAUGGCAGAGGAAGCUACCUUUAUGGCAUCUUCACAAACACUGAAAUGUGUUAUUGGUCUGCAUCUAUGCUUCACUCCAAGAUUUCCUAGCUCUAUUUUUUUUUUGCAUUCCAAAGUGAAAAGAUGUAGCCCACAUGGCAGAGGAAGCUACCUUUAUGGCAUCUUCACAAACACUGAAAUGUGUUAUUGGUCUGCAUCUAUGCUUCACUCCAAGAUUUCCUAGCUCUAUUUUUUUUUUGCAUUCCAAAGUGAAAAGAUGUAGCCUUUUGUUAACUUACAAAAUUCUAUAGCUCACACAAUAGAGUAAAAUAGUAAUUAAUACAGGUUAGGCUGUGAGGCUAAUCACUGUGGAAAAAUUGUGAUCAAAUCGCUUAAUUUCCUCUGUUAUCUAGGUCAGUGAGGAAAAUAAUUUCUCCACUUUCUUUGCCCUUUGUUCCAAACUGUUUUUAGUGACUGUGGAGAGUUGCAGGUUUUAUCAUUAUAGUAAAAAGAGGAGCCAUUCUGACAAUUAUCAGCUAAAUUAAAAUGAAUGGUUAAAAACAGUUCAGCCCGAGAAAUACAUAAUGCAGCUUAAUGAUAGAAAAGACCCAGCCAGGCUGGGCACGGUGGCUCACGCCUGUAAUCCCAGCACUUUGGGAGGCCGAGUCGGGUGCAUCACCUGAGGUCGGGAGUUUGAGACCAGCCUGACCAACACGGAAAAACCCUGUCUCUACUAAAAAUACAAAAUUAGCUGGGCGUGGUGGCACUUGCCUGUAAUCCCAUCUACUCAGGAGGCUGAGGCAGGAAAAUUGCUUGAACCCAGGAGGUGGAGGUUGCGGUGAGCCAAGAUCGUGUCAUUGCACUCCAGCCUGGGCAACAAGAGCAAAACUCUGUCUCAAAAAAAAAAAAAAAAAAAAAGAAAGAAAGAAAAAGACCCAGCCAGUCUUUCAACCACUGGGAUUGAAAUUUCAUGGUCUCUGAGGAUGACUCACUUCUUAGCUGUGUCAUGAGUUUCAUUUUGAAAUGAAAUACACUGUGUGGUUUCAUUUGAGGCUUCAUGUUGAUGCAAAAAGGAAAUGAGUCCAUAUUGGGAAGUUAGGUUGAAAUACAUAUAUUAAUGAUGAAAAAGUGUCAGGCUGUCGUUCAGCCAUCCUUACUACUUCUGUUCCGGCAUUACCAGGCUCUUCUGUAAUUGUAUAACACCUGUUUGUCUCCCCUACUUGUCUGAGAACUCAGAAGGCAGGAACUGGGUGAGGCAAGUAGAAGACACUCAAUGAACAGCUGUUGAGUGAACCAGGGAACAUCAUCUCUAAGGGGAAGGAAUCAGGGAAUUUUCAGCUCCAAUCUUCCUGUGUAAUUGUUGAUGAGAAAAAUCUAUAUUCAUCUUCACUGCAUUUACACAGUUGACAAGAACGGUCUUAUUUAUAGAAGCCACUUUAUGGUGUUAUUUUUCACGAUAUAGUUACAUUCUCAAACUUGCAUGUUCUCUUGAAACCAAUGAGAGGGGUGGUGAGCAUAGGAAGUGUAGUGGAAACAAAGUAGAUGUGAUGAAAAAUGGCGCAAGAUUCUGGGUUGAUUUUACUCUUAUUUCAAUUUACAUUUACAUUUUUUGAGUAUGUACAAUAUUCUAGACUGUUUCAAGGAUACUAGACUUUGUAUCUGAUUUCAAAGAAUUUAUACUGUCAUGGUGAGGAGGGGGACAGAAAGGAGACUUCUUAAGUAACCAAAGAAAUUAGAGAACAAGAAAAAACUGUAUGUAACAAAAUAUCCAACUGAAUUGUGAGGUGGUACAGCUUAGUCUUUAGAGGCACAGGCUUUUAAAUCAGACUAGGACUGGUACUGGUUCUACCAUUACUAGCUCUGAGAUCCUGGAGAAGUUAUGUGACCUAAUCUUAUUUAUUUAUUUGCAAAGUGGGAAUGACAAUAAUUAUAUUUACACUAUAAGGUUAUGAGAUUAAAUAAUAUUCAUGUACACUGUAUAUCCCACAAGGAGUAUCAGAUCAAUGAAUGAUAAUGAUAAUUAUAUAAUAAUUAUAAUCUUAGUGAUUAAAGGUGACAAUGGAAAGGACUAGGAAAACAGCUCCAGUAACUGAGGCUAUUUUAAAAUUUCUGUUUCUAAUCCACAUGAAAUAGAAUGUUUUGCUAAAAGAUGGUAUUGGUUACUUGUAGACAAAUUAAAAUCAUAUAAUCGAUAGGCUUUGAUAAAAAACAUUGAGAACAGUGCUUGCUUUGGCAAACAUUACUAAGUGAACAUCUUGAACUUUCUUCUCAAAAGAACACAGUUAAGAGUCCAGAGAGUUGCUUUAUUUCUGACAACCAAAAGGGCUAUCUUCCUUGUCCAAAUUAUAACCAUGCAGUCCAAGGGAAAUACGUGUACUUUUAGAGAACAACAGCUUUGAUUCUGGGAAAGGAAAUACAUGCUAUAGAGAGUAGCCCUGAGAAAUUGUUGAAGUUUGAUAAUGUUGCAAAACUGAAUUUCUAUUUGUGACCAACAUAAACAUUUUUCUUCCCUUUAGAAUAUGAGCUCCAGUCUUUUGGAGAAAAUCUUUUUCUCUUCCUGAUAUUGGCUAUUCAUUUUAUGUUUUACUGAGAAUGAGGACAGUCCACGUGAAUUCUCUCAAUAUCUCUUGAAGGGUUACCCUCUUUUCCUUUUUUCUACCUCAGCACAAGGUAACUUGCUUUUUUCCUUGCCAAGAACACUGCUCUUAAUUCUAUUACUGCUCACCUCCUCUCAGUUUUGCUCCAUCCUUUAAGCCCUAUCUUUCUUCCAUCUUCAAUCUCCAAUCUCUCCUCCUCUGCCACAAAUAUGGCCAGCCCUCUGUAUCCUAAAAUAACCCCCCUCUGACCCUGCUGCUGUAGCAGGUUACUGCCUUAUCUUUCUUCCGUUUAUUACCACACUUCUUCUAAAAGAAUACAAAUUCUGCUUUCACUUCCUGCUUAUACAUUCACUUCUUAACCCCUUGUAAUAUGGUUUCUACCUUUACCCCUCUAUGAAACCACCUUCUGGAAAAUCACUGAGAGUUUAGUUUCAUAUCCAACAAAUCUAAUGGACUUGUCUCAGUCCUCAUUCUCCCUGUUGUCUCUGCAGAAAUUUCAGUUUGUUGAAUGUUCUCCUUCUAUAGCCUCUGUGAUACCAUAGCCUGCUGGUUCUUUUAUCUUUCUGGAAACUUCUCUUCCACCUCCUUCACUAGCUGCUUUUUCUUUCUACUGCUCCAUAAAUAAAAUAAAAUCUUCUCCACAUUCUUUGCCUCAUGUGACUUCUUAUCUACUCA